CGAACAACAUGGAGCUUCUGGGAGCGCGAAGUGCGUUAUUAAGGCCACAGGUGGUGGGGCAUUCAAGUACGCAUAUCUUUUUAAAGAAAAGCUUGGGAUUUCUCUUGACAAGGCAGAUGAAAUGGACUGUCUUGUGGCCGGAGCAAAUUUUCUGCUUAAGCUCGGUGGUGGUUAUCAUUUUGGGCUACCUUUUGGCUUUGUUGCUGAUUCAAUUGGAGCCACUUUAGGUGCAGGGACCGCUUUCCUUCUCGGAAGAACUGUAUGUUUCUAUUCUAAAACUCUUGUAUUGGUAUUUCCUGGUUUUUUGAGUUUCUAAAAAAGGAGAAAAUAUUAAUGCAUUUAUAUGUGUGAGUAUGCGCGUGCUCUUCAUUGAUUCCGUUCUCAUUUUUGUUCUCCCUCAUUCAUAUGUAAAUGCUUUGUUUGUAUCUUGCCCUCUGCCCAUUGGUCAUAAAUAUAGUAUCUAUGCUUUCUUUAUCUUAUUCUUGAAU